CGAAAGCAUUUGCCAAGGAUGUUUUCAUUGAUAAGGAACGAAAGUUAGGGGAUCGAAGACGAUCAGAUACCGUCGUAGUCUUAACUAUAAACUAUGCCGACUAGGGAUCGGACGAUGUUAUUCUUUGACGCGUUCGGCACCUUUCGAGAAAUCAAAGUGCUUGGGCUCCAGGGGGAGUAUGGUCGCAAGGCUGAAACUUAAAGAAAUUGACGGAAGGGCACCACCAGGGGUGGAACCUGCGGCUUAAUUUGACUCAACACGGGGAAACUCACCAGGUCCAGACACAGUGAGGAUUGACAGAUUGAGAGCUCUUUCUUGAUUCUGUGGGUGGUGGUGCAUGGCCGUUCUUAGUUGGUGGAGUGAUUUGUCUGCUUAAUUGCGAUAACGAACGAGACCUU
rnacentral:rRNA from 1 species